GACAGAGGAUGCAAGCGUUAUCCGGAAUGAUUGGGCGUAAAGCGUCUGUAGGUGGCUUUUUAGGUCCGCCGUCAAAUCCCAGGGCUCAACCCUGGACAGGCGGUGGAAACUACCAAGCUGGAGUACGGUAGGGGCAGAGGGAAUUCCCGGUGGAGCGGUGAAAUGCGUAGAGAUGCGGAGGAACACCGAUGGCGAAGGCAGCCCCUGGGCUAACACUGACGCUCCAGGCGACGAAAGCGUGGGGAGCAAACGAGG
rnacentral:rRNA from 1 species